ACGGGUGUAGUUCAAGGGUAGAAUAGUGGUCUCCAAAACCAUUGAUGGGAGUUCGAAUCUCUCCACCCGUGC
rnacentral:tRNA from 1 species